CUCGAAAAGAUUUGUGAAUCUUGAUGCGACCAAAGGUGCAUAAUGCAACCUAACUCUUUUAACAAAAAAGAUACAAUGCAGACAAUCUUGAAGAAACACGGUAACUUUUGAAACUGAAUUCGAAAACAGAUUUUAAUUUCCAACUUCUUUAAUCCCAUAAAUCAGAAACUCUGCAAAUCGUAAUAACCUCCGAUGUUUGCUUACACCACGGACUAAUUUCGUUCAGCGAAAGACACCAAUCCAUCCACCUCGACCCGACCUCAAUCCCGCAAGACCAGCACCUGGCUAGACGAAACCGAGAGACCACGACACGACCGGUCAAAAGAAACACAGUAGAGCUCUAGAAACUACGGCGAUAAUUUAGACAGCAGCCCGGGCCAGCUUCUUCCUCAUCCGGCGACUCAUCCCCGUCUCUGCGCCGCCCGCGGUCUCCGCCGCGUCGUCCACCCCGACGCCGUUGCAGCUGGUGCCGUCCGAGAACUCCGGGUAACCCUUGUCGAAGCGGAUCUCGAGGACCGUCUUCUGAGCCGGCGCGGGGGGCACCCGCUGGCGGCGGCCAGGAAGAUGCGAGGGCCCAUGUCGCUGACACAUCUCCUCGAACUGCUGGUCGUCGAGCUGCUGCUCGUCGACGUACUGCUGUGACAGUGACUCUGCUCCCGCUAACGGGCCGCCGGCCAUCUUGGAGUUGGAGGGACUGGUGCGAGCCUGUCGUAGCCGCCGGCUUCCCUGUUCGUGGAGGACGAUCGAGUCGGCCGAGCGGAGCGCGCUAGUAUACGUACGUAGGCGAAGGCAAAGGCUGUGGUCGGUGGUGGGAAUAGGCGGACGGGUUGUUGCUGAAUUUGUAGGGCGAAGCCGAGCUACGUAGCGGAGGACACUCGGCGUCCGGCUCCGGGUCCUGCUCGGGCGGCAGAGCAGAGUCCGCCUCGGUUAAUGUAAAUGGUAAG
rnacentral:lncRNA from 1 species